UACGAAGGGGGCUAGCGUUGUUCGGAAUUACUGGGCGUAAAGCGCGCGCAGGCGGUCUUCCAAGUCAGUGGUGAAAGCCCGGAGCUCAACUCCGGAACUGCCAUUGAAACUGUAAGACUUGAGGACGAGAGAGGUGAGUGGAAUUCCCAGUGUAGAGGUGAAAUUCGUAGAUAUUGGGAAGAACACCGGUGGCGAAGGCGGCCUGCUGGGCAGUUUUGCUGACACUGAGGCGCGACAGCGUGGGGAGCAAACAGG
rnacentral:rRNA from 1 species